UGAAGUUUCUCCAGCUGGGCAAGCUUCUUUCUGUGCGUGGGUCGGUCAAAGAUAAAGCAUUUCUUCCUGGGGAAGAACUGGCGGAUACACUGACGAGCUUUUUGUGUAGCAUUUCUUGCUGCGAACCCACCCUAACUUGGUGUUCUGGAGAACUAGGAGACCAACCCAUUUUCCUGCCACGAUCCAUGCCUCAUCAUUUGGUGGCCCUGUAUGGGGAUGUCUUGUUACUGAGGUAAGAAGCCCACCAUAAUUUCUUCUAUAGUGAGGGGCAGCUCUGGUUCCCCGGGGUUAAAACCUAAGCUACUGACAGACUCUGGGGGUCUGGUUGAGGAAAUUAGUCACCCAUAGGACGCUGUGGGGACGAAAUCCUGUUGUGUUUUUUUCUUUUUUUUGUUUGGAUGAAUUGUCUUCUUACAGAGGGCCUUUCAUUGACACCUUUCCUGAGACAUCUAGAAAGGUUACACUAUAGAAUUGCAAAGUUGUUCGGGCUUGGGGCAAAAAUGGGUCAGUUUUUCUCUUCUGUCCCUAGAGAUUCUCCAUUGGGCUCUCUCUUGAGAAAUAGGAACAAAUUUGGCUUAAAAGACUUAAAGUCGAAAAGGCUCGUCCAUUUUUGUAAUACUGUGUGGCCUCACUAUAAGUUAGACAACCAUGAGGCCAUGGCCAAUUAAUGGCUCUAUCAGUUUCACCACUAUUAGAGAAUUGGACUUGUUUUGCAAGAAACAAGGGAAAUGGAUGGAAAUUCCUUAUGUCCAGGACUUCAUGGCCCUUUCCCAGAACCCAGUUUUUUUUUUUUUUUAACUUGCAGGAUGUUGCUGGCUAAGUCUAUUGUGGAGGAAAUGGAGAAAGAAGCUGACCCUCUGAAUGACUCUCUUCUUCCUACUCCUUUGGAGGUGCAGGGAGCAUCUGCCCCACCUCGCGGCCCUCUGCAGGGUGCUCCUGGCCUCCAAAGCCAUCUCUUUUCCAGAAGGAGGACCCAGGAUCCCAGGUUAUCCAACCUUUCCCUCCUCCCCCUCCCCCAGAGCUGGACUCUGGGGCUGAGGCUUCCUUGUGGCUUAACCCUUCUAGGAAGAGAAGCAGCACUUCCUUCUCUUCCUAUUCCCUCCCACCUCUUCCUUCUCCUCCACAUCCAAAAGAAGGCCUGACCUGUUUCUCAAAGGAGGGGCUUGAGUGACUCAAGGAGAAACCCAGAGUGCCUGAAAUUGAUAAGGACAUUAAUCAAACUCAGAGGAGGAAUGUACUGGUUAAACUCAUGAACAGCAGUAUCCUUUUUUGUUCACUUUUAACCAGAAUGAUCUAUUUUAGGGAAAUGGUGUUGUUACUAUUAUUCUGUUAAAAACUAUAGACUCAGAGUAAUGCUUUAAAAUGCAUAAAAUAAAACACAAUUACAAAGAAAAAAA